UUAAGUGCAAUUAGAACAUGUGUCCUUAAUUUUGUACUCUGAUAAAAAACCUAGAUAUGCAUUGCUUUGCUUGCUAUGCAGUAGACAGAGUAAUUUUAUGACUUUGGGAACUGAAGUCCUUGUGCUGUCAUUCACUAAGAAUUAAUUUGCCAAAAAAUUUUGUUUGUUCUUGUAGCAAACAAAAAGAUAUGUCUGAGCUAAGUUGCCCCAGCUGAAUCAUAAACUAUAACUUAACAGGCACAUGCAUCUGUUUCAUGGAAACUUCAGGGGAGAGGAAAAUUAUACCUGACCUGUUCCAGGAUAACAAAAGCUGAUGGUCCUCUUACAUGGCAGAGGUCAGAAUUUACCAAGAUGAGCAUUAACUGCUAUAGAGAACAAAGCACUAAGCUUGUCUUCACAGACUCCAGAAGCUCAUCUGCAGUUUGACUGGGCUGAAUGGAUUAUUCAAAGCAGACAUGUUUGCCACUUGGAAGGGGAUUGUUUUGGUUCUAUUCAUCAGAACAGUACUGAGAUGAGAAUCCCAAUGUGCUCACUGUGGGUGCCUGUAAUGCCUCUAUCCAUAUGCAUUGCUAUUGUCACAUUUUGUCACACAGACCCUUCAUGUCAAGCGUGAAUCAUCUUGCACCCACUA